rnacentral:rRNA from 1 species
GACGAACGCUGGCGGCGUGCUUAACACAUGCAAGUCGAACGGAAAGGCCCUGCUUUUGUGGCGUGCUCGAGUGGCGAACGGGUGAGUAACACGUGAGUAACCUGCCCUUGACUUUGGGAUAACUUCAGGAAACUGGGGCUAAUACCGGAUAGGAGCUCCUGCUGCAUGGGGGGGGAUGGAAAGUUUCGGCGGUUGGGGAUGGACUCGCGGCUUAUCAGCUUGUUGGUGGGGUGGUGGCUUACCAAGGCUUUGACGGGUAGCCGGCCUGAGAGGGUGACCGGCCACAUUGGGACUGAGAUACGGCCCAGACUCCUACGGGAGGCAGCAGUGGGGAAUAUUGCACAAUGGGCGGAAGCCUGAUGCAGCAACGCCGCGUGCGGGAUGACGGCCUUCGGGUUGUAAACCGCUUUCGCCUGUGACGAAGCGUGAGUGACGGUAAUGGGUAAAGAAGCACCGGCUAACUACGUG